rnacentral:rRNA from 1 species
UACGUAGGGGGGCUAGCGUUGUCCGGAAUCAUUGGGCGUAAAGCGCGUGUAGGCGGCCCGGUAAGUCCGCUGUGAAAGUCGGGGGCUCAACCCUCGAAAGCCGGUGGAUACUGUCGGGCUCGAGUGCGGAAGAGGCGAGUGGAAUUCCUGGUGUAGCGGUGAAAUGCGCAGAUAUCAGGAGGAACACCGAUUGCGAAGGCAGCUCGCUGGGACGUCACUGACGCUGAGAAGCGAAAGCAUGGGGAGCGAACAGG